rfam:Ovis aries breed Texel chromosome 3, whole genome shotgun sequence.
UCCCUGGUAGCUCAGCUGAUAAAGAAUCUGCCUGCAAUGCAGGAGAUCCUGGUUCGAUUCCUGGGUCGGGAA